CCCUUUUCUGAAGUUGCCCUCCAGCCGAGAGAAUCCCUAAAAGGCCAUAUUUUCCUCUGCCACUCUCAAUCCUCACAGGUACUAAUCUAAUCAUGUUAUUAUUAUUAUUAUUUUUUUUUGCAACCCCCGUUUGAUUCCCAAGAAAAUCCAUCCCCCAUUCGAUUUCCGGGAAAAUUCAUCCUCGUUUGAUUUCCGAGAAAAUCCAAGCAAAAACCCUGCAACCCCCGUUUGAUUCCCAAGAAAAUCCAUCCCCCAUUCGAUUUCCGGGAAAAUUCAUCCUCGUUUGAUUUCCGAGAAAAUCCAAGCAAAAACCCUGCAACCCCUGUUUGAUUCCCAAGAAAAUCCAUCCCCCAUUCGAUUUCCGGGAAAAUUCAUCCUCGUUUGAUUUCCGAGAAAAUCCAAGCAAAAACCCUAC
rnacentral:lncRNA from 1 species